rnacentral:rRNA from 1 species
AGCGAACGCUGGCGGCAGGCUUAACACAUGCAAGUCGAGCGCCCCGCAAGGGGAGCGGCAGACGGGUGAGUAACGCGUGGGAAUCUACCCAUCUCUACGGAAUAACGCAUGGAAACGUGUGCUAAUACCGUAUACGUCCUUCGGGCGAAAGAUUUAUCGGAGAUGGAUGAGCCCGCGAUGGAUUAGCUAGUUGGUGGGGUAAGGGCCUACCAAGGCGACGAUCCAUCCCUGGUCUGAGGGGAUGAUCAGCCACACUGGGACUGAGACACGGCCCAGACUCCUACGGGAGGCAGCAGUGGGGAAUAUUGGACAAUGGGCGCAAGCCUGAUCCAGCCAUGCCGCGUGAGUGAUGAAGGCCCUAGGGUUGUAAAGCUCUUUCACCGGUGAAGAUAAUGACGGUAACCGGAGAAGAAGCCCCGGCUAACUUCGUGCCAGCCGCCGCCGUAAAAC